CAGAAAGUUAAAAGUCUUAGUAGUGGAGAAAGGAUCUUAUCAUUAAUGUAUUAAUAGAUGAGCCUAUAUCAACUUUCAUCCGGUGAAGGAAAUAAAGACACCUAGAUGGAGGCCUUGGUGGUUUGCUUUCUUUUUCAUGGGUUCCUUGUCAACUCCUUUCUCACCCAACUAGGACAAGCAUAAUCAACAAUAUUUUUCUCAGCUGCAUGAUUGCUUUUUCUCCAUUUUACAUGUUUGAUCUCAUGGCAGGUGAUAUCUUGAUCUAUAUCUUAUCAACUCGUUCCAAAUUUUCAGCAACUUCUGGUGGCUUAAUUACAUUAUUUUGCAUGACAGUGGUAUUUUUAAGAUAACAGUGAUAGUUUGGCUGACUGAUGACAUAUUUUGAGAAGCAUUACUUGCUGCAGUUAUUUAUUCUUCAGAAUAUGGUAGUUGUCCUUCUUAAAUAGCAGUCAUAAUCAGAACGCUGAAAUCAUAAUCUAUUACAUUUUUGUUUGUGAAGUUCAUGAUGCCGUGUUGAUUAAUUUAGCUGCCUGCCACAUGCUUCUAAGUUCUAACCACCACCUUGACUGCAGGAUGAAAGUAACCCCAUUGGGAGCUCACAAGCUGCCAAAUUUGCUUUGGAAAAUCAUGAUCUGGGUUGUCGAAUGUAGCACUCAAUCUGAGGGUUUGGCUGUAUCGUAUUUGUGACACAUCCCAACAAAACCAUGGAUUUGGGACCCACCACUGGAAUCUCAACCUUUGGUGGGGUCCUCAGAGGAAUCUUCAGGAAUGCCAAGUUUGAAUCUGAUCGAAUCUCAGAAGAAGUUGACAGAAUCUAGCCAUUGAUGGUCUCACAGAGAUGUGAUUUUUGUGCUGAAAGCAAGUGUUCAGCAGCAAGCAGGGAAGGAAAGCUUGCUCAACAUGCACUUAGAACAGGUGAUGCCUGAGACUGCAAGUGGCAGUCACUGCAGCCCAGAAAGGAGUGGAAGAGGAUUAAAGUCUCUCGAGGUUCUGUCACUGUGUGUCUGUCUCAGUAGAAUGUGAAGUCUCGGCAACUUGGAAAGGUCUUCUUUGAUGGAGUAGGCAAAAACCUUUUCUUUGGUUGGUGCUUAAUCUAUUGUGUCAUGGCUCAGCAUUGACUGUGUGAGGCCAUGAGAGAUUCAACUGCUCAACUUGAGAGUUGUGAUGCCACCUACCUGCCGGCCUACCAAGAGAAGCUUGAACAGGGCCAGUGGCCCACCAUACUGCUGAUCUCCCAACCCCCCCUAAAUUGUACAUCAAACGGCAGUGUACCAAUUAUUUCCUAUAAUU